UACGUAGGGCGCAAGCGUUGUCCGGAAUUAUUGGGCGUAAAGAGCUCGUAGGCGGUCUGUCGCGUCCGUUGUGAAAACUCGAGGCUCAACCUCGGGCUUGCAGUGGAUACGGGCAGACUAGAGUGCGGUAGGGGAGACUGGAAUUCCUGGUGUAGCGGUGGAAUGCGCAGAUAUCGGGAGGAACAUCAGUGGCGAAGGCGGCUGCCUGGCCCAAUACUGACACUCAGGUGCGACAGCGUGGGGAGCAAACAGG
rnacentral:rRNA from 1 species